ACUCUCCUUGCUGAGGUUAUGGACUUUGUACACUUAAGAGCAGGUAUGUCAAACUCGUUUCAGUUUAAGGCCAGAAACUGCUCCGUGGCCGCGCAUACAGCUGACAGAAGAAGGUAAGGCUGAUGCAGGACAGCUGGCUCACGGCGCAGCCGUUUGGCAGCGUGUCGCGGGUUUGACAUAUCUAACCUAGACAAAUAACACGGACAGUUCAAUAUAUUUACAUCUGGAUUUAAAUACACGUAUUCUGCAACAUACGGGUGGAGAUGCAAACACGUUUGGUGAUGUAAAUAGAUGUUACGGGGAAAUUUUAAGUUAAAGAACUUCAUCACCCAGAAUUCCCUAUUCUUGGUUGACGGACAUGCGCAGACUACGUGCGCACAGCCGCGCACGUAGUCUGCGCAUGUUCCGGUUUUGUGUUGAACAGGCAAAGUAUCACCGCUCCGUAUUUUAAACUGCUAACUACACACCUAUACUUCAGGAACUAUUACUACUAUGUGGAUGUAAGCAAAGUGUUCUCAUUCCCUCUUGGAUGUGUGCAGCCAGUGAGGUACGUUUUGUUUAAGGGCUUGUUAUAUCUGCUCGACGGCACGGACAGCUAACUGGGAUAGCGAGUGGAGCUAGCGGCUGCCGGAUGGAGCAGCCAGUCAGCCAGCUUGCUAACUACACACCGGUGCUUACGUCCACAUGUACUCAACGAAGUGGAAACGCCUUUGACGAUGCCACGUGCAAAGUCAUGCCACCAUCAAUGGGAAUGGCACAUUGGACACGUGGCUUUCAACUCCAGCGAGGUGGCGGCACGGAUCUCUGCAUGUCUGACUGACAUCUCCCAGUGGAUGUCCGCCCAUCACCUGAAGAUCAACCCCGACAAGACUGAACUACUUCUCUUCCCUGGAAAAAACUCGCCCACUCAGGACCUGACUGUUAACUUUGGCGAACACCGUUAACAUCAGGAGAAUACGACCCCUUCUCACUCAGAAGGCGGCGCAGGUACAGAUUCAGGCUCUUGUCAUCUCUCGCCUCGACUACUGUAACUCUCUGCUGGCGGGUCUCCCUGCUACCGCCAUACGACCACUGCAGCUCAUCCAGAAUGCAGCAGCUCGACUGGUCUUCAACCUUCUGAAAUACUCCCACACCACACCGCUUCUCCGUUCUCUUCAUUGGUUACUAGUGGCUCCCCGCAUCCAGUUCAAAGCAUUGGUACUGACGUACCACGCUGUGAAUGGAUCGGGACCAGUCUACAUCCGGGACAUGGUUAAACCCUACAUCCCAACCCACACACUCCGAUCUGCAUCUGCCACGCUGCUUGUUCCUCCCUCACUGAGAGAAAAGCACUCGACGAGAUCGCGACUCUUUGCUGUCCUGGCUCCCAGAUGGUGGAACGAGCUCUCUGAUGACAUCAGGACUGCAGAGAGCCUCUCCAUCUUCCGUCGAAAACUCAAGACACACCUUUUUAGACUCUACCUUGACUAAAACACUAGCAAACCGUAGCACUAACAAAUGGUAGCACUUAAAUUGUACUUAUAAUGCCACUUAUCUUUAACAUGUUUUGAAACUGCUUAGUUAAUGAAAAAUGUACUUUCUUGUUACUUGUUCUUCUGAGUUUGUAUCUCUAUGUGGAAAUGCACUUAUUGUACGUCGCUUUGGAUAAAAGCGUCAGCUAAAUGACAUGUAAUGUAAAAGCCUUCUUCCUGUGUUCUUACAACAGCAUUCCAUUACAUAUCGAUGUAAUAAUUUGGCCUUCUUUUUUUCUUCCAGCACACGGCACAGGUUGGCGUCACAAUCAUGGCAAAGUUGACUGGACCACAGCGGAAAAUUAUCCUUC